UGGCCAAAAAUGCCUCUCCAGAGGAAGCCUCCUAGACCAGGUGACCUGACCUUUAAAUAACUUUUCUGACUUCAUCACCUGGCUCCAACCAGAAACAAGCAUUGUUUGAACCCAGAUGAUGCAGAUCAAUCCUUUUAAAAGUGGUCAGCAAACCCCUGGUAGACUGGCCAGGGUCACCAAACUGGUUCCCCAGGUUCUCUGUUGGGAAA